rnacentral:miRNA from 1 species
GUAUUAGUUGUGUGACCAGGAGA